rnacentral:rRNA from 1 species
CCUACGGGCGGCAGCAGUGAGGAAUAUUGGUCAAUGGACGAGAGUCUGAACCAGCCAAGUAGCGUGAAGGAUGACUGCCCUAUGGGUUGUAAACUUCUUUUAUAUGGGAAUAAAAUGUUCCACGUGUGGGAUUUUGUAUGUACCAUAUGAAUAAGGAUCGGCUAACUCCGUGCCAGCAGCCGCGGUAAUACGGAGGAUACGAGCGUUAUCCGGAUUUAUUGGGUUUAAAGGGAGCGUAGGUGGAUUGUUAAGUCAGUUGUGAAAGUUUGCGGCUCAACCGUAAAAUUGCAGUUGAAACUGGCAGUCUUGAGUACAGUAGAGGUGGGCGGAAUUCGUGGUGUAGCGGUGAAAUGCUUAGAUAUCACGAAGAACUCCGAUUGCGAAGGCAGUUCACUGGACUGCAACUGACACUGAGGCUCGAAAGUGUGGGUAUCAAACAGGAUUAGAUACCCUUGUAGUC